rnacentral:rRNA from 1 species
UAGCAUAAAAUUGAAGGUAAGUUCUGCCCAAUGAUUUGAUUUAAAUGGCUGCAGUAUAUUGACUGUGCAAAGGUAGCAUAAUAGUUAGUCUUUUAAUUGGAGACUUGUAUGAAUGAAUACAUGAGGGAUUUAUUUUUUUAUAUUUAUUUUUAAAAUUUAAUUUUUAGGUAAAAAAGCUUAAUUGAUUUUUUGGGACGAGAAGACCCUAUAGAACUUUAAUUUAUUUGUUUAAGAUUUAUUUUAGUUGUUUAAUUAUUAUUUUAUUAAAAUAUUUUUUUGUUGGGGUGACAAAUAAAUUCUAACUUUAUUUCUAAUAUUCAUUAUUAUUAAUGUUUAAUUGAUCCUGUAUAGCAUAUAGAUUAUAAGAUAAAGUUACCUUAGGGAUAACAGCGUAAUUUUUAUGGGAAGUUCAUAUUUAUAUAAAAGUUUGCGACCUCGAUGUUGAAUUAAGAUAAGAUUAUGGAGCAG